rnacentral:rRNA from 1 species
AGAGUUUGAUCAUGGCUCAGAACGAACGCUGGCGGCAGGCCUAACACAUGCAAGUCGAGCGCCCAGCAAUGGGAGCGGCGGACGGGUGAGUAACACGUGGGAAUUUUCCUCAAGGUACGGAACAACUCAGGGAAACUUGGGCUAAUACCGUAUGAUGCAGAGAUGCCAAAGAUUUAUCGCCUUGGGAUAAGCCCGCGUCAGAUUAGGUAGUUGGUGGGGUAAUGGCCUACCAAGCCUGUGAUCUGUAGCUGGUCUGAGAGGACGAUCAGCCACAUUGGGACUGAGACACGGCCCAAACUCCUACGGGAGGCAGCAGUGGGGAAUCUUGCGCAAUGGGCGAAAGCCUGACGCAGCCAUGCCGCGUGAAUGAUGAAGGUCUUAGGAUUGUAAAGUUCUUUCGCUCGUGACGAUGAUGACGGUAACGAGAGAAGAAGCCCCGGCUAACUUCGUGCCAGCAGCCGCGGUAAUACGAAGGGGGCUAGCGUUGUUCGGAAUUACUGGGCGUAAAGCGCGCGUAGGCGGCUUUGCAAGCCAGAGGUGAAAUGCCUGAGCUCAACUUAGGAAUUGCCUUCGGGACUGCGAGGCUUCGAGGACGGAAGAGGUGAGUGGAAUUCCCAGUGUAGAGGUGAAAUUCGUAGAUAUUGGGAAGAACACCGGUGGCGAAGGCGGCUCACUGGUCCGUUUCUGACGCUAAAGCGCGAAAGCGUGGGGAUCAAACAGGAUUAGAUACCCUGGUAGUCCACGCUGUAAACGAUGAGUGAUAGGCGUCGGCACGCUUGCGUGUCGGUGCCGCAGCUAAC